UCCUGGAUAGCUCAGUUGAUGGAGCAUGAGACUCUUAAUCUCAGGGUUAUGGGUUUCAGCAAAAAUAUUCCUGCAUUGCAGGGG